GACCCAGUGGUCAAGACGGUCAAGACAUAACCUUUUCGCUGUUAAAACGAGAGUUCAAAUCUCUCCUGGGUUA